GAGUCGUCAGUGUUCUUUGACGUUGGAGUUUGAUUGGCCAGCUGUUUCUAUUGGCGUCACUGCGCCGCCAGCUGAUCGCAGUGAGAAGCCGGUUUGAAGGGAGUUGGACUAGAAAGAACCAAGACGCGGCGAUAGAGCAACUUGCUGUUUGGGGAACCGCUAGGAAACUGGGAAGUGAAACUGGGGCGGUAUCUUCGUUUUUACGGAUUAAGUUACAAUGUAGCGCGUCCUAAUAGAUACAAGAGUGGUAGCUGAAUAGUUGUACGUGCAUUUUAAACUAGAGCUAUAAUAGAUGCGUUUCGUCCAUUACUAGAACUGUCAGAUUUGAUUGAGAGAGUUAAGGUGUGGCUGUCUUCAAAACGUUUUUUCUUCUUCAAGGCUUUCCUCUGAACUAAAUGCUUAUAAUAAUAAAGCUUGACAUAUUUACAGUGAGAAGUAGCCUAGCUGAUCGAUUUUCAACAUUAAUGGCGCAUUUGAAAAAGGAACCAUUCGAUUAUACGACCUAGAGUGCCACCUCGACAAGGAUAAUAUGCAUUAUUCUAAACAUUACGGAUGGAGUCUAUUCUGCUAUUAUUUGGAUGAUUAUAACAAGUAUUUAAUAAUCGUGUAGGUUAAUUCGCUGUAUAAUGUUUUGAAAUGGAUGUGGCAACUUUACGGUAGUAUCGCAUUCUACAUAUGAAAGGUAAAUCAACGGACCUGUGGGGGAGUAGGCCUACUCGGUGAUAUAGAGCUAUUCUCGCACGAUAAUCGAUUUAAAAAGAAACAUCUUUAGAUUUUUUUCCUUUAUGAUCAAUGGCGAUACUUGUAACUAGUCUACUGCCAUUUUGAGUCCCACCGAGGAAAGAAGUUAGUCUAACCUACAGAAAAAAGUAAGUGCGUCAAUAUUAAUUUAAAAACGUUUAAAUGUCUUUAUGAGUGUGGAAUAACCUUAACUGAAUAUAAUACAGUAAUCCAGAUAGGCUGCAAUUAAAAGAUAAAAUAGCGCGUCAAAUGAACCCCGAUGACUAUAUGCCUACUGAGAAUAUUGCCAUAACUGUUACUAAUGAAGCAAAUUGAAUGUUACAAAUUAUGUAAUCAAAUAGUUGACUUGCAGUUCCAUUUGGACUAUAUGUAGUCCGCUGGUCUGUAGGCGGUGCAUUAAUUACCAUAUCACUUCAUUCAGUACAGCUGUGAAUUGAAUAUUAGAUUUAUGAGUUAUUUCAAAGGCCAUCUCAUAUAGGCUAAACGUUAAAUGGAUUGGAUUAUGGACACUUCUGUUGCGCGCAUUCGUGGCCUAUAGAGCCUACGGGCGUGCCCAUCAAUUAGCCUACUUGUGAAGAAGAAUGGGGCCAAAGGGGCCAGAAUAAGAUUCGGUCAUAUUUAAAACUUUAAAAAAAUAUAUGUAAAAUAUCAAGAUCAUUCCUGUACUGUAAAAACGCGUUAAAAUACCUAUUCAUAGAUCUGAUGUUUGACUUAUUAACUUUUAGUAUUUAGUAGUAGGGUAGACUAAAGACAUGAUGAAUUUAACCUUACUCAUAUCUUUUCAUUAUUUAGUUACAGUAACUCACUGUAAUUUGCUUUAAUUCGAUUUAAAGGAGAGAAUUGUGGAGCGAAUGCCUCAAGGCCCCACCCUUUACAGCGAAACAUGGAUGUGGAUCACAAUUUUCCCCAGAAGUUUCUUGUUUCCCGUUUUCCUCUCUCUAACUUUACGUUGCCAAGUGUGUAGCCAUAGGCCCUGCUUUAAGUGGAGAGAGCCUGUAACCUCCAUAUAAACUGGCUGGCAACCCCCUAAAGAUCAAGCUGCAGGAUCUUCAUUCAAGCUCCAAUCAGUCUCCCUUCCUUUGAUCAAGAUUCCACCUCUGCCCACCCUGAUGGCCAAAGAUGAAGAAGAUGUAGCGUAGUGUGUGUGUGUGUGUGUGUGUGUGUGUGUGUGUGUGUGUGUGUGUGUGUGUGUGUGUGUGUGUGUGUGUGUGUGUGUGUUUGUACAUGUUGCGUGGGUGCUCACUGGCUGACCCACAGCAGUUCUUCACUGGCAAGCUUUAUGUCCUUGUGUACCAACUAAAGCUGCCAGCUGAAGAACUGUUGUGGUUAGCUCUUUCCUGCAUCCCACACAGAAGACCAACAGACGCCUUCGAGAAAUGUGUGUGUGUGUCCAGAUGCCAUGUAUCGGAUCAGUGAAUUCUCCAUCCAGAUGUUCCAUUUUGCAGCCAAUGGUAGCAGUGUACAGUAUAUUUAGAGGUAAAUACAGCACACGUGAAGAUUAGGCUAAACAGAAUAACUAGCUAUCCAAGACAAAAGGUCUCAGUUAAAAACACAUGAACCCACUGCACUCAAAUGUAAUGUUUUCAUUAAGUCUUCUGCUCAUGUCACAGAGCUAAUGAAGGCUCCAAGUAUGAAAAAUGCUUACAAACUAUGAAAUAUGUUUACUAAGUCUGAAGUUUGCUUACUAAAUAUCAAGUAUGGUCCCAAAGUAUGAGGUACGCUUGAAGUAUGCUUACUGAAGACAGAUUUGACUAUAUGUGUGCUGUAUUUUGCUCUAUUUACACUAUAUUGUAUUUAGUUUUAUGUAUGUAUACUCAACAGAGUUGUAUGCUUUCAUGUACAAUGUGAGCUCUUUUAAACCACACUAUCAGCAUCAACUGCCCCCACAAAUGGCUGCUUUAUUCUACUCAGGCAUUAACAAAGACGACUGCACAUUGAUGCUACUGUACAUGCUGAGUCAGCCAACAUUCCACACCCCAGCCAGGACCCGCCUGCUGCCCUUAUAUGGGUUGAAGCUGCAUGGUGGGGCAUCAUGGGUGCUUCAUUGUAUAUCAGAACAAAACAUCUCUAGAAUAAUUUCUUAUGCUACUCAAAAACAACAAAAAGUAGAAGGAUAGGAAGGUAGAUGGACUGGCUACUCAAAAGCUAGCAGUGUGUAAAAGCAUAGAAUGAUUGAACGAUACAGUAUGAUAGAUUGGGGAAAGGAUAGAAGGAAAGACCGAGGGAAGGUUAGGAGGAUAGAUGGAUGGAUGAAAGGGAAAGAAGGAGGGAGGGAGAACAAGGCAAGGACAUACGACAAACAGCUGGACAAAACCAGCCUCCUGACAUGCUGGUAAAGGCAAUUUGUGACAUUGUUCUAGACUUUGCUGUGCUGUUUGUCUCAAACCAUGACUGCUCAGGCCCUCUCUGUUCCCUUUCUCUCUCCCUCUCUCUUCUCUUUCUCUCUCUCCUCACUUUCUAUGUGUGUGUCUCUCUCUAACUCUUUCUAUUUGACUCUUUCUCUCUCUCUCUUUCUCUUUCUCUCUCUCUCCCUCUCUCUUUGUUACACACCCCCACAUACGCACACACACACAGCAUACAAUAAAUCUGACUUCAAGGGCGGUGUUGGCGUCGGCAAGAACAGGAUAUGAGAGCGUGUCCCUCUAAAAACCUUCCCCUCCAGAUGAGAACAAAGGUAGAGAAUGUUCCAGAUUCCCUGGCCGCUGCAGUCUAGGAACAUGUGGAGCCAAGAGUUGGCCAACGAGCAGUCCUUAUCUUUUCCCCCUUCUUUCCAUGCAUUUUCUCUCUGUUGUCUAGCUUGUCCAUCUCUGUUUUUGGCCUCUUGGUAAGCUAGCUUUUUGUUUUGUACUAUUAUCUCUUUGUUAGUGUAUCUGCUUCAAUCUCCUUAUCUUGUUGUCUUGUCACUCUUCUCAUUCUUUCUCCCCUCUUCUGUCUAGCAUCCCUCUUAAAACACACACAAAGACACACAAACAUAGAGGUACAGAGAGACAAACUCACACACACACAGAGACAGAAAGCGACACACACACAGAGACAGAGCGACACACACACACACACACACACACACACACACACACACACACACACACACACACACACACACACACACACAUACACAGAGACAGAGAGCAACACACACACAGAGAGCAACACACACACACACACACACACACACACACACACACACACACACACACACACACACACACACACACACACACACACACACACAUCCCUCAGACAGGAUUAUCCCACUCUCACAAGUUGAUCCUCUCUGGUAAGCACUGCCAGUCCCCUGUGAGCAUGUAACAGAAGCACUGCAGUCAGGGCAAGGCUGUGACCUAGAGAGUAGUGUGUUUGUGUGUCUGCGUCUCUGUUUGUGUGUGUGUAUUCCUCUGUGUGUGUGUGUGUGUGUCCCGCUGUGUGUUUGGGUGUGUGUGUGUCUCCCGCUGUGUGUUUGUGUGUGUGUGUCUCCCGCUGUGUGUUUGUGUGUGUCAGGUCACAGGCCAAGGUCUCCUACCUGAUCCGCUCUGAGGGAAUCGGCCUGCGAGUACAUUAAGAGAUUGCGGUGGGGCGCCGAGCCGAGGCUCACUGGCUCGACUUAAAGACAUACACACAUAAUCCUGGCUGCUCUGCUCCACCUAACAAGGAUACACGUGGCAGGUGUGUCUUUCAGGGUGUGUGUGUGUGUCUGUCAGUGUCUGUCAGUGUGUUUGUGUGUAUCGUCUCUGAGCUUUACCCCACCUAUGCCCUCUCAGGCGUGCCCCUGUCCUUGGGCACCCUUACCCACCCUAAAGUCACUUCAUCUGCCAACUGGAUAAAGAUAGAGAGGGGUACACAGAGACGAGAGAGAGGGGUACACAGAGAUGAGAGAAAGAGGGGAUACACAGAGACGAGGGAGAGAGAGAGACCGACAGAUGGAGGGAGAGAGGGAAGCAAACAGUAGAGAGACGUGACAGGACAGAGGUUACCCAACACCAUCAUGCCAUCCUGCCCAGCCUGAUCACACAAAGCACAGUCAAAGCACACCAACACCUAACCAUGCACUUUAACUAUGGAGGCUUGAGAUCUGCAAGUGUAUGGUAUGUGUUUUGGUAUGCUAUAAAAUGCUAUGCUACGUAAUUCCACGGUAUGUCACGUGGUCUGUGUUAAUUUUGAUGUGAUAAUAAAUUGAAUUGCACGGAGACACAACAUUCUUUGUGUUUGUAUUAUUUGAACUGUGAGUAGAUAUACACUACCAUUCAAAAGUUUGGGGUAUUGUCCUUGUUUUUGAAAGAAUAUCACAUUUUUUAUCCAUUCAAAUAACAUCAAAUUGAUCCGAAAUACAGUGUAGACAUUGUUAAUGUUGUAAAUGACUAUUGUGGCUGGAAAUGGCUGAUUUUUUUAUGGAAUAUCUACAUAAGCGUACAGAGGCCCAUUAUCAGCAACCAUCACUCCUGUGUUCCAAUGGCACAUUGUGUUAGCUCAUCCAAGUUUAUAAUUUAAAAGGCUAAUUUAUCAUUAGAAAACCCUUUUGCAAUUAUGUUAGCACAGCUGAAAACUGUUGUUCUGAAUAAAGAAGCAAUUAAACUGGCCUUCUGUAGACUAGUUGAGUAUCUGGAGCAUCAGUAUUCGUGGGUUCGAUUACAGGCUCAAAAUGGCCAGAUAAGCUUUUUUUCUUCUCUGGGAAAAUGGCUGCCCAGUAUGAUUACAUGGUGGUGUUUAGACUUCAAAAGAUACUCAAAACACAGGACGACCUAAUCUCCUCUCCUGUUCCUAGAAGAAAUGUCACUGACACUCUGUGGACGCUAUUAGUUAAUAACAAGUAAUGGAGGGGAAGGGAACUAAUGUGGUGUACACACACACACACACACACACACACAC
rnacentral:lncRNA from 1 species